GGAGCAAGCUUGUUGUAUAUCACUGCUUCCUUUUUUGUUGUCAAACAUAGAUGAUUCCUCCAAUUAUUUUUAAUGAGUAACUUACAACUGAACCUAAGGCUGAAGUGCUUGUGUAUUUACCAUCUACACUUAACAUGGCACUAAUCUUUUCCGGUUAAGCUGAAGCCAGUGAGCCAUGCUACCUCAGGCGACAUCUUCCAGAUAGUCCACAAAACUGUUUCCUUUACUUCUUAAAUCUUAAAUGUGUUUCUUAUACAGUUAGAACCUGUGAUUAACAGUUUGAAGAUCGAUUGAGCAGUCUGGUGCUUCGCUGUUUCCAAGAAGAUGAGCAGUUUCGAGACCUAGAAGCUUAGAUACAGGGCAUGAUCCCACGAUUGACUCCAUUUCUCACCGAUCUUGCCGAUUAAAGAGUCGAGGAAGAUUGAAACUUCAAGUGGGUGCAGAAGACAAAUCUCAGAGUUGUAAACGGAUGCAUACUUUGAUAAUCAAUUAACCUUCGAACAUAAAUGGCUCUACUGUGGAGACAGUGAAGAGCACGGAGUUCCUUGGUGUGCACAUAAUGGACAAUGUAGCCUGGACCCACAACACCUCCUCCCUAGUCAAGAAGGCACAGCUGCAACUACACUUCCUGAGGAAAUUGAGGUAUGCAAGCCUCCUGUCUCCAUUCCUGCAUCAUUGUGUGGUACAGAUGCUGCAAGGUAUUGGACCACAAGACCCUACAGAGGACUGUAAAAACUGCUGAGAGGAUCACUGAGGUCUCCCUCCCCCUCCAUUUGUGACAUUUACCAGCAGUGUUGCAGACGAAAGGCCCAAAGCAUCGUUGAGGAUCCCUACCACCCAUCGCACAAUCUCUUUUAUUCACUACCAUCAAGAAAUAGGAACAGGAGCAUCAGUACGAGGACUGCCAGACUGGGUAACAGCUUCUUCCCUCAGGCUGUGAGACUAAUAAAUACCCUGCCACCGCAGAGGUCUCAUUACUAGGACGGCAUUUACAAGAAAAUAAAGAAAUACACCUGAAUUUAUGAAAAACUAUAAAUAACAAAAGACUAACACCAAAGGGGAAAAAUGAGACAGAUCAUGCAACUACGGGUUGAGUAUCCCUUUUCUGAAACUUGGGGCCAGAAGUGUUUCAGAUUUCAGAUUUUUUUCAGAUUUUGGAAUAUAUAAUAAGAUAGCUUGGGAUUGCUGAUAUAUUUUGUAAUUUCAAAGCAUUAAUCUAAUUCAAAGA